rnacentral:rRNA from 1 species
GACGAACGCUGGCGGCGUGCUUAACACAUGCAAGUCGAACGGAAAGGCCCUGCUUUUGUGGGGUGCUCGAGUGGCGAACGGGUGAGUAACACGUGAGUAACCUGCCCUUGACUUUGGGAUAACUUCAGGAAACUGGGGCUAAUACCGGAUAGGAGCUCCUGCUGCAUGGUGGGGGUUGGAAAGUUUCGGUGGUUGGGGAUGGACUCGCGGCUUAUCAGCUUGUUGGUGGGGUAGUGGCUUACCAAGGCUUUGACGGGUAGCCGGCCUGAGAGGGUGACCGGCGACAAUGGGACUGAGGUACGGCGCAGAGUCCAACGGGAGGCAGCAGUGGGGAAUAUUGAACAAUGGGCGGAAGCCUGAUGCAGCAACGCCGCGUGCGGGAUGACGGCCUUCGGGUUGUAAACCGCUUUCGCCUGUGACGAAGCGUGAGUGACGGUAAUGGGUAAAGAAGCACCGGCUAACUACGUG